GAGGUUCUAAUAACAGGACUGUAGCCGUUGGUUUAUCAGGAACGCUGAGCGUAGUAAACUCUUGAGGAAAGGAACUCAAGUGGAUGAAUUAUAUUGCUCCUCAUGGAAAAGAUGAAAAACUUCUUCCUGGCUAUCCUGGCUACUGGUUAUCUCUCAUACUAUUUCAUGCCACCAUUAUGAAGAAGAAAAUGAACAGCAGCAACACAUAUGCUCCAUACGAGUCAGCCCAUUGUGCGCCUCUAACAACGUCACAUACUCUAAUUCCUGCGUGUACUGCUUCGCCAAUAUAGCAUUGAAUCAUACUCUUACAAUUCAACAUGGAGGAAUGUGCAGCAAACCCCCCAAAUCUUGAAUAUUUCUUCAUUUAUCACGAGUGAGACCAUUUGAACUAAGCAUCGUCUUUCCUUCAUAAAGCAGAAUUUAUUGUAUUGUCUUAUUUUUUCUAAUCAAUAAAUAUUACCCUAUGGAAA
ensembl:lncRNA